CUCUUCGAUGUUCUGGGCUACACGCGCGCUACAGUGGCAAAGACAGAGAGCAUGAAUUAAUUAUAGAGUCGCAUCGAGGGAUGUGACGAAUCAGCAAUCGUUGUCGUGAUUGGGAUUGAGCGUUGUAAUAUUUGCUCAUGAAAGAGGAAUUCCUCGUAAGCGCGAGUCACUAACUCGUGUUAAUUACGUCUCUGCCCUUUGUACACACCGCCCGUCGCUACUACCGAUUGAACUGGUUUUUGAAGUGUAGAGAUUGGCAGGCAUGGUUUACGUGCAUUGCAAAGAACCACUCUGAAAAAAUCGUUCGAGAAGAAGUAAAAAUCGUAACA
rnacentral:rRNA from 1 species